GGAAUUUUCUUAGUUUCAGGCCAUGGCACUAGAUAGUACCACAAUCAGCUUGCAGUGCCCACUGUGAUGUUUUGAAGAUAUGGGUCGACGAAAUGGCUACACACGGCGCGCGUACUGACGCAAUCAACGACGAAGAAAUUCUUCGGAUGCUGAGGGGAGUGACUUCAAUUCACUUUCAGACAAUGAAAGUCAACAAUUUUCGGAUGAGGAGGCCGUCUCGGAAUCCGCAGUCACUACUGAACACGCAGAAAUCGAAAUAGAAAACCUUACGCCUUACAGGUCGCUGGAGAGGGGACGUAAAGAACAAAUAAAUCUAGAUCAUAUGCAAAGCGAUGGUCAAAGGCUCAGAAAAGAAGGAUUGAUGUACAACAACCAGCUAUUCUGAAGAGUUAUAACUGCAACAUGGG